rnacentral:rRNA from 1 species
UGGGGAAUAUUGCACAAUGGGCGCAAGCCUGAUGCAGCCAUGCCGCGUGUAUGAAGAAGGCCUUCGGGUUGUAAAGUACUUUCAGCGGGGAGGAAGGGAGUAAAGUUAAUACCUUUGCUCAUUGACGUUACCCGCAGAAGAAGCACCGGCUAACUCCGUGCCAGCAGCCGCGGUAAUUCGGAGGGUGCAAGCGUUAAUCGGAAUUACUGGGCGUAAAGCGCACGCACGCGGUUUGUUAAGUCAGAUGUGAAAUCCCCGGGCUCAACCUGGGAACUGCAUCUGAUACUGGCAAGCUUGAGUCUCGUAGAGGGGGGUAGAAUUCCAGGUGUAGCGGUGAAAUGCGUAGAGAUCUGGAGGGAUACCGGUGGCGAAGGCGGCCCCCUGGACGAAGACUGACGCUCAGGUGCGAAAGCGUGGGGAGCAAACAGG